UAGCUCAGUGGUAGAGCAUGUGCUUAGUGUGCUUAAGGCCCUAGGUUCAAUCCCUGG
rnacentral:tRNA from 1 species